rnacentral:rRNA from 1 species
ACGACCGGCGCACGGGUGCGUAACGCGUAUGCAACCUACCUCUAACAGGAAGAUAGCUCUCGGAAACGGGAAUUAAUACUCCAUAAUAUUGCAAAUUCGCCUGUUUUUGCAAUUAAAGCUCCGGCGGUUAGAGAUGGGCAUGCGUCCUAUUAGCUUGUUGGUGAGGUAACGGCUCACCAAGGCGACGAUAGGUAGGGGGCCUGAGAGGGUGACCCCCCACACUGGUACUGAGACACGGACCAG